rnacentral:ncRNA from 12 species
AAUGGACCCGGCUGGACCGGGUGGCUAUCCUGGGCGCCGAUCCCUCAGGGACAC